AAUUCUCAAGCUUUUUUCAUUUUUGUAAAUGGAAGUGGUCUUAGCUUGGUUAUUGGGCUUUGCCGUGUCCCUUCGUUGGGACGGCUGGCCUUAAAAGCAUUAGCCUCGCCCUCAUGAUGGAUUGGUUCUACUCAGCGUGAUAAUAAUCUGACCGCUGAGGACAUCUUCCGGGAUGGCCAGUUCGCGUUUGGGUUGCUUCUAAUCUGGCUUACGGAUUGCUAAUAGCGAUCUGUUCCAUUCUUAA
rnacentral:misc_RNA from 1 species